CUGCGCUCCUGGCGGCUCCCUCCCCCGCCGCCCCGCUCCCUCCCGGAAGGCCUCGGGGCAGAGCGGUCCCACCCACUGCGCGCUGAACAGAGCCCGCGUUUCCUCAGAGCUGGAACUCCCGGCUCGGGCGGGGUCUCUUCCCUCCGCCUUCACGGAACUGCCCCGCAGCCCGAGGGGAGGGCGACCUCACUGAGGCUGCCGGCUCUGGAGGUGUCCCGGCGGCCGAAGCCGUGACAGUCGCGGGGACGGCGGGCCGGCUCAAGAAGAAAACACUGGAGGUGACAGUCUGGGAUUAUGAUAGAUUUUCUUCCAAUGAUUUUCUUGGUGAGGUAUUGAUUGAUUAAUCUAGCACAUCUCACCUCGAUAACACGCCUAGGUGGUAUCCUCUCAAAGAACAGACUGAAAGCAUUGAUCAUGGCAAGUCCCAUUCCAGUCAAAGCAGCCAGCAGUCCCCAAAGCCGUCUGUCAUCAAAAGCAGAAGCCAUGGUAUCUUCCCUGACCCAUCCAAGGACAUGCAGGUUCCCACCAUUGAGAAAUCCCAUAGUAGUCCCGGUAGCUCGAAAUCCUCAUCCGAAGGCCAUCUCCGCUCUCAUGGACCAUCUCGCAGUCAAAGCAAAACCAGCGUCACUCAGACCCACCUGGAAGAUGCAGGGGCUGCUAUAGCCGCUGCCAAAGCCGCCGUGCAACAACUCCGCCUUCAACCAAGUAAAAGACGCAAAUAAAUUCCUCAGCAUGGCAGCUUAAUAUUCAUCUGUUGCCUUUCUUUCCUGCUGUCCUUCCCCAUUUGCUUUGUUUUGUGCAUUCCCGGCUCCCUCUGUUCUCUGUCCCUUUGUCUGUGUAGGAACAGUAUCGAUACAUAAAUAUGCUCUCUCUCAUUUAGUUCUUUUUUGUUUUAAUUUACAUAGAAUGAAAUAAAACUGGCUGUCUCUCCUUUGUCUCCACCAUCCAUCCAACCUGGCUCAUAGUAUUUGGUAGCUGUGUCUGUGAUGUGUGCAGGCAAAACUAUGUUGUGUGUCCUUUUUGUGUGCACUUAAAUGUCCUUUAGAAUACAGGAAUUAUAAGCACAAGUGGCUGCCGGUUUUCCAGGCAUUACACCAAAAAAAGGCACACACAUAAGCAUUUUGAGCAGAUUAGCAAUGAGAGUCUCACCUCUGAAAAACACUAAAAAAAUUUAGGCAGAAGAGACAUGUAACAAACAGUCAAGUUCUAGAACCUAGGGGAAAUGGAAAAACCAUUUUACGUUUAAAAUUUUUAAUAAAUUAUGCAUGUGAAAUAAUGAAGCUUUCCAUGUGAGAAAUUUUCUAGUCUUUUGGGAAAAAAAUCUGUAAAGAAAAUAAUGUUUCUUAUAUUCUCCAAAAAGUAUGUAGUAUUAAUAUAUGUUCAAGCAUAUUCGAUGAGGCCAUGUUACCUCAUUAAGGAGCACAGUUGGGUCCAUUCUGUUGGAUCACACUGUGUAUAUGAUACAAGAGAAUUUAUAGGGUUAUUCUUUUUUCAAAACACUGGAAAUCCUUUGGAAGUUAAGAUAUCAAUUAAAGCAUAACAAUUCACCCAUCUUAACUGCUGUAAUUUCAAAUGAUAGAAUUAUAUAAGAACUUAGUGAGUACAGAGACUUUAAAAAUGUAGGGGCACUGUUACUUCCAAGAGGCAUCAGCCAAACAAUGGAGAUAGAUGAAUGUUCUCCCCAUCUCCCAAAGUCAUCAUUUCCAAAGAAACAGCCAGUUUUAACCCCCUUUAGUGCUGUGCAUGUGGUGUCAUUUUGGCAUUUGAACACACAACUUACUUCGAUAGAGCAAAAGAUCACUUCUGUUUGCAUGAAUAACAUUCAAGCUGGUUCCAUCUGAGGAUACAUACUCUGGGUUUCCAUUUCACCCACACUACCACAGCAGCACAUAAAAGUGGUCAGUCUAAUCAUGCCAGGAAGCAGCACAGACACAGCAUAGCAGGAGUCCUCCCCAUUCAAAGAACUCAGUCUGAUAAUCUGCCUCCACCAGCUAAUGGCAACCAAGACCAAAGCCAGCUAGCCCUCAGGAAGGUGAUGUCUGAUGGACCAGUCAAGCCAAAAGGAGGUGAGCAGAAAGGCGCUAUUCAAAGUACACAGCAAGAACAUCCCCCAAAUUUAAAGCCCUCAUCUUUUAAUUUUUAGAGAUUGUCUGAUAAAGUAUGUUUAUCCACUUUUUAAUGUGCUUUUGCGGGCAUGGCAUUUUAGGACUUCAUCAUCACUGUGUAAGUCCCAAGAUCAGUCCCAUAAUAUAUUGGCUACAGUGAUUUGUAUUUUUCUAUGCACUGGGCAUCUUUUGACUUUUGUUGGGAAAUAGAUUAACAGUAUUCAUAUUGCAGAAUGGAACGCAUGCUACUAACCUAAUCUGUUCAAGCAUGACUAUAAAUAUGUUUCACUGUGAUAAAAGUUUAAACUGCUCACAAUUCGAGUUAGCAUACCAGUUGGAAUGUAGAUCAGUUUUUGUUGAAUAUUAUUUCAAGUGUAACUUUUUCAAAAAAAUUCAGUGGAUUUUGGAAAUUCUUAGAGGAAAGUAAAGGAAAAAAUUGUUAAUGCACUCAUUCACCUUUACAUGGUGAAAGUUCUUUCCUGAUCCUACGAACACAUUUUUUCCACUCAUGUUUCCGUAGUUGUCAAGUGUAUCAUGUGUUGGGCAUGUGAAUAUCCAAGUGCGUGUGUAAUAAA